rnacentral:rRNA from 1 species
AUGCCUCGUUAUAUUGUGUCAGAUAGGGACCCUGUGUUCACUAGCAAGUUUUGGCAGGCAUUGGUGAGAAGGACAGGAGUUGUUCUUAACAUGAGAACAGCCUAUCACCCUGAAACAGAUGGUCAAACAGAGCGUGUCAAUCAGCAAGUGGAAUGCUUCCUGAGAUGUUUCAUCAGCGCUCACCCCAAGAAAUGGGCAAAGUGGAUUUCUCUUUGUGAGUUCUGGUACAAUACAAAUUGGCAUUCAACACUCAAUAAAUCUCCUUUUGAGGUCCUUUAUGGCCAUAGUCCUAGACACUUUGGUAUUUCAGCUUCGGAUGCAGUCGAUCCUGUUGAUCUGCAACAAUGGUUGGAUGCCAGGGAAGUGGUGCAACAGUCAGUGCGCCAGCAUCUGUUGCGUGUUCAACAGAGAAUGAAACAGCAAGCUGACAAGAAACGCACGGAGAGAACAUUUGCUGUGGGUGAUCGCGUGUUCCUCAAACUCCAGCCGUAUGUGCAGUCAUCUGUGGCACACAGAGCAAAUCACAAACUUGCCUUCAAAUAUUUUGGACCGUUUUUUAUUCUUGAGAAGAUCGGGGCAGUGGCCUACCGCUUACAGUUGCCAACAUGUAGCCGUAUUCAUCCAGUUUUUCAUGUGUCGCAGUUGAAGCAAUGUGUGCAGCCACACCAGGAGGUAUUCAGGUUGCUUCCUUUGGCU